CGCCCAGUCCCUGUUCUGCGAAAACAAGAGAGGAGAUGAGAGAGUUAGAGUUUCAGUUUUAAAAAAAGAAAUAGAGAGAAAGAGAUAGGGGAAAAAGAGAAAGAGAAGAAGGGAGGGAGGACUUAUCUUCUCCGGUGACGACGACGCGGCGGCAUCGGCAGCGGCGACACGGCGGCGGAAGCACCGAGCUGUUCCUGGUCGGCCGGAAAAGAGGAAAAGAGGGGGAGCUCAGAUCUGGAGCCUACCUUCCCGGCGAGGCAAGGCUCGGCCUCCACCGCAAUUCCAGCCAGACGAACGACGGAGGAGGCGACGGACGGCGGCCGAGCUCCUUCACGGCGAGGCGCAUGCAUCGAUUCCG
rnacentral:lncRNA from 1 species